rnacentral:rRNA from 1 species
UACGUAGGGUCCGAGCGUUGUCCGGAAUUACUGGGCGUAAAGAGCUCGUAGGUGGUUUGUCGCGUUGUUCGUGAAAACUCACAGCUCAACUGUGGGCGUGCGGGCGAUACGGGCAGACUAGAGUACUGCAGGGGAGACUGGAAUUCCUGGUGUAGCGGUGAAAUGCGCAGAUAUCAGGAGGAACACCCGGUGGCGAAGGCGGGGUCUCUGGGCC